UGGGCCCGCAGCCCAAUCCUCCACCGCAACACGCCAGAGGCUCUGCUCUGCCGUCCUGUGGAUCUGAGUGGAGCUCUCCGAGAUGCCGGGAAGGCGGUGUAAAAGGAUCCGUCAGCUGUCCUCCUUUUUCCCAACAAGGGCUGGCCUGGGGGUGGGGAGACCUGGGUGGAGAGCCUGCUCCUCCAAAUAAGAGAGGAAAAACUCGUGACUCAGGGAAAGGCAGAAGUUGAGUCAGCCAAACCACAAGCUAUGGAAAAAAUGAAGUUUCCCUGAGGCCUUUUCUGCUCCCUGGGGUGAAGCCAACUUCUCAGUCAUAAGGAUGGCCAAGCAACUGGAGAGGCCCACCUGGGAGAAACUGAGGCCUCCUGCUAAUAGUCAACAUCAACUUAUCCGCUCCAUGAGUGGGCCAUCGUGGAGAAAGAUCACCUAGCCCCAGAAAGC